rnacentral:rRNA from 1 species
UAGUCCACACCGUAAACGAUGAGUGCUAGUUGUCUGCAGGCAUGCCUGUAGGUGACGCAGCUAACGCAUUAAGCACUCCGCCUGGGGAGUACGGCCGCAAGGUUAAAACUCAAAGAAAUUGACGGGGGCCCGCACAAGCGGUGGAGCAUGUGGUUUAAUUCGAAGCAACGCGCAGAACCUUACCUACGCUUGACAUGCCUGGACGACUCCGAGAGAUCGGUUUCUCCCUUCGGGGCCAGUGCACAGGGUGCUGCAUGGUUGUCGUCAGCUCGUGCCGUGAGGUGUCAGGUUAAGUCCUAUAACGAGCGCAACCCCUACCGUUAGUUGCCAGCAUGUUAUGAUGGGGACUCUAGCGGGACUGCCGGUGCAAACCGAGAGGAAGUGGGGAUGACGUCAAAUCAUCACGGCCCUUACGUCCUGGGCUACACACGUGCUACAAUGGUAACGACAGAGGGCAGCCACCCCGCGAGGGGGAGCGAAUCCUUAAACGUUAUCUCAGUUCGG